rnacentral:rRNA from 1 species
UCAAGAAUAUUCCUCAAUGGACGAAAGUCUGAAGGAGCGACGCCGCGUGUAUGAAGAAGCCCUUCGGGGUGUAAAAUACUUUUAUCAGGGACGAACAAAUGACGGUACCUGAUGAAUAAGGGGCUGCUAACCUCGUGCCAGCAGCAGCGGUAAUACGAGGGCCCCGAGCGUUAUCCGGAUUCAUUGGGCGUAAAGCGUCCGUAGGUGGUUUAUCGCAUCUCCUGUUAAAUCCCGAGGCUCAACCUCGGGUCAGCGGGAGAGAUGGAUAAGCUAGAGACUGGAAGAGGCAAACGGAAUUGCUGGGGUAGGGGUUAAAUCCAUUAAUAUCAGCAAGAACACCAAAUGCGAAGGCAGUUUGCUAGGACAGUUCUGACACUCAGUGGACGAAAGCGUGGGGAGCGAAUG